GGGGGUGUGGCUCAGUGGCAGAGUGCUUGCCUAGCACGCACAAGGUCCUGGGUUUGAAUGCCAGCACCACAA
rfam:Ictidomys tridecemlineatus contig068765, whole genome shotgun sequence.